GAAAUUCCCGGGCCCUGGCUUCUUGACGCGAUGAGGUUCCGGUUCUGUGGUGAUCUGGACUGUCCCGACUGGGUCCUGGCAGAAAUCAGCACGCUGGCCAAGAUGUCCUCUGUGAAGUUGCGGCUGCUCUGCAGCCAGGUACUAAAGGAGCUGCUGGGACAGGGGAUUGAUUAUGAGAAGAUCCUGAAGCUCACGGCUGACGCCAAGUUUGGUGAGUAUCCCGCUGAGUCUAUAAGCCCCAGGCAACCCUGGGAACUUGGCCUGGUGCCUGGUACAGAGUGGCCCCCCACCCCUCCCAGCAGCAUCCUUAACUUACCUUCCCUAGUGGAGGAGCAUGAGGGAAAGAAAGACCGACAGUCCCACCUUCCUGUCCUCUGUCAGCUCCUGGUGGAGCAGUAGCAGUGCCUGUGGCUCCAGGAGGCCUGGGGGCUUUGAGCUAAAGUUAAUAGGGCAACAGGGAGGUGGCUGGACCCACAGUGACACCCCCUGCCCCACCCACGGGUCCCUCAGAGUCAGGCGAUGUGAAGGCCACAGUGGCAGUGCUGAGUUUCAUCCUCUCCAGUGCGGCCAAGCACAGUGUCGAUGGCGAAUCCUUGUCCAGUGAACUGCAGCAGCUGGGGCUGCCCAAAGGUACGGGUUGUGGGUUGGCAGCUGGGCAGCCUGUCGGCCAAGGGCUGCUAGAGAGGGGACAGGCCCUGAGGUGUACCCUGCCCUGUUUGGGCCAGGAGCCCAAGCCCAGCCCCCACCUGCUACCUCCAGAGCUUCUCCAUUCUACCCCCAGAGCACGCGGCCAGCCUGUGCCGCUGUUAUGAGGAGAAGCAAAGCCCCUUGCAGAAGCACUUGCGGGUCUGCAGCCUACGCAGUAAGUAUGAGGCCAGCCAGGGUCCGGGCUCAUUCUAGAAGGUGCACGCAGCACGC
rnacentral:sRNA from 1 species